rnacentral:rRNA from 1 species
AUUGAACGCUGGCGGCAUGCCUUACACAUGCAAGUCGAACGGCAGCACGGGAGCAAUCCUGGUGGCGAGUGGCGAACGGGUGAGUAAUAUAUCGGAACGUGCCCGGUCGUGGGGAUAACGUAGCGAAAGCUACGCUAAUACCGCAUACGAUCUACGGAUGAAAGCGGGGGAUCGCAAGACCUCGCGCGAUUGGAGCGGCCGAUAUCAGAUUAGGUAGUUGGUGAGGUAAAGGCUCACCAAGCCGACGAUCUGUAGCUGGUCUGAGAGGACGACCAGCCACACUGGGACUGAGACACGGCCCAGACUCCUACGGGAGGCAGCAGUGGGGAAUUUUGGGCAAUGGGCGAAAGCCUGAUCCAGCAAUGCCGCGUGCAGGAAG